ensembl:lncRNA
GGUGAGACAGUGUGUUCACAGAAAACCUGAAGCUAUACAACAAGAAGCUGCAAAUGAUAACUCCACAGGCAUCACAUAUAGUGACAUCAUAUCAUCACAACAUCACCAAAGGGCAAUCAAACAACUCAGAGACAUUGAUACAGCUGUGGUGUACUCAGCAGUGAGAACUGAAGAUGUCACUUAUGGACAAAUAGCCAUCAACCAAAAGACGAUCAGAGGAAACAAACACGAUACAGGAAACAGGCAUCAUUUGAUACUGUGAACUGCACAGCAGAGCUUCAAUGCAGGGUGUGUCUGUUUGAGACUGAAACACUUUAUGUCCUUGGAUACUCAGAACCCAACUAGCAGCAGGUGACAUGGUGCAAAUGUUCAUGAAGUGUUUAAUCUUGUAUAAAAUGUGAGAAAUGUCCUGUAGUUUCAACAUUAAUUUUUGCCAUUUUUCUCAUUUUGUAAUGUAAUGUAAUGUUUUGAAAUGGCAUAGAUUCAACCACAGAUCACCCUGCAUGAGCCACAUGUCAGGUGUGGUCAAACCUGUGUCAUAACUGAGAAACAAGUUUCAAACUGAUUCAGAUUAGGCCCGUUUUGUCUUGGUACUCCCUUUUAUUAGCAAGAUGAAUUUCUAUUUAAUAUGAGGGCGAUUUAAAAAAAAAAGAAAAGCAGACUGAAUGUAUCAAAUGUUAUUUUUUGAUAUUUAAUUUAGUCUUUUCUAGAGUCUUGAAUGUAAAACCAAAACAGCAACUUCACUACAGUAUGUUCUACUCUAGGUUUCAUGCUGUGAGAACAUUUUUGCUUUGUGCUUUGUGGUGAAGUGCAUCAGUUUGUAGAAACG